GACGAACGCUGGCGGCAGGCCUAACACAUGCAAGUCGAGCGGACCUUUCGGGGUCAGCGGCGGACGGGUGAGUAACGCGUGGGAAUAUGCCCUUCUCUACGGAAUAGUCCUGGGAAACUGGGGGUAAUACCGUAUACGCCCUUUGGGGGAAAGAUUUAUCGGGGAAGGAUUAGCCCGCGUUGGAUUAGGUAGUUGGUGGGGUAAUGGCCUACCAAGCCGACGAUCCAUAGCUGGUUUGAGAGGAUGAUCAGCCACACUGGGACUGAGACACGGCCCAGACUCCUGCGAGAGGCAGCAGUGGGGAAUCUUAGACAAUGGGGGCAACCCUGAUCUAGCCAUGCCGCGUGAGUGAUGAAGGCCUUAGGAUUGUAAAGCGCUUUCAGCUGGGAAGAUAAGGACGGUACCAGCAGAAGAAGCCCCGGCUAACUCCGU
rnacentral:rRNA from 1 species